UCUCAUUAUUGCUACUAAAAAUCUCUGCUGUCUUUUGCGAAUUGCCGUAAAUUUCCACUCGGCACACGCAGGUGCGUUCUGCGUUUCCCCAGUUGCUCCGCGCCUCCAAUCUGGCACGGCCGAAGGCUUUGCGGGGCUCCUCCUGCUGAUACAAAGCGGGAAGCGCCGCGGCACAUCCGCACGGCUCCCUUUGCCAGCCGCAGAACCCCGGCUUGCUCUGCUCCGCUCCCUGGGCUGCCGUGGGACGCCAGAGCGGCGCUGCUGAUGGGGGAAGGCAGCUGCACUCCUCCCUCCCGCCAGCAGUCGUCCCUCCACACCCGCAGGAGGACGGUUUCCCUCCCAGCAGCCUACCGCACGCACUGGCCGUACCUGCGCGUGGAAGGUGUGGGCGAUCUCUCCGUCCACAUCGUAAACAACCAACCCCAGGAGAGUUUCACCUUCAUCCUCAUCUGCUCCCUCAAAGACAAGAGAUGACGGCAGUCACACUUAGGCAGGCCUUGCGAAAAAGAACAUGCAGAGGCCGAAGGUGGGAGCCCCUCUCCCCCACAUCAGCUCUGGCAGGAUUGGAGCACAAAGGAGGGAACUGACCAAGAAACUGAGCAGGAUGCACUGCAGGAAGGCAGCCAUCCCACCCUGCCGGUCUCGGACAGUGGAACGCAGGCAGCGUCAACAGCUGGCACGCCAGGCAUGAAUGCAGGAAAGCACAGAGGCUGCUGUUCACAAAUCUGAGCAGAAGUGCCACGUCACAGCCAUGGUAAUGUUCUCAGCUGUGCUGCUGUCUGCAUGCUGCUGGCCUGUGGUGCCGUGAUGUGGAUGUGCCAGAAAUACCUGUGAGUUGCCUUUUCCCCAAAACACCCGAUUGCUGCACUUGGCAAUGAAGCAUCUGUAGUGCCAGGAUCCUGGACGGCCAGAUCAGCUGCUGGCAGCGCACUGCCAGGACUAACAGCUCAGAUUUAUCUGAAGAUGAAAUUGCUAACCGGAGAUACGGAUUGUUGUACCAGGAAAUGGAGGCUGAUAAAGCAGAGGUAGGAUGCCGCUGCAUUUACAGUGCAAUCAAAUGAGAAUGUGACAGAGACUCUAAAUCCGUAAAACAAAAGACUGAGGCUGAAGAAGCUCCACCUGGGGAAGUCAAGGUCGAGGAAACCCCUGCUGCUGCUGUUGUGGGAAAGGAGGCCAUCCCUACUGAGCCAGAUGAGCCAACAGAGCAGACUGCGGGGAACAGCGUUAGGAAAGCGUACAAACAGAAGUGAAGAGUGGCUUGGAAAUGGUCUGAAGCUCUACUCAACCAGUGUCAGGUUGGUUGUGUGCUGGUGGUGUUGGACCACUGCAGAAGCCACUCAUGAUACCACGCAAACUGUAUGCAGCAGAAGGCUCUGGAGUACAGCUGUAGUUUAAAGGACUUCUCAAGGACAGAGAGAUGAUUUUGCCUGGAUAGUUGCA